rnacentral:tRNA from 1 species
GCCUUGGUAGUGUAGCGGUCAGCACCUGACCCUGUCGAGAUGAAGCUUUAUUUUAUAUAAUGUUUUGUCAACGAAAGGUCAUAACUCGAGUUCAAAUCUCGGCCAGGGCG